GAUGAACGCUGGCGGCGUGCCUAAUACAUGCAAGUCGAGCGAACAGAUGAGGAGCUUGCUCCUCAGACGUUAGCGGCGGACGGGUGAGUAACACGUGGAUAACCUACCUAUAAGACUGGGAUAACUUCGGGAAACCGGAGCUAAUACCGGAUAAUAUAUUGAACCGCAUGGUUCAAUAGUGAAAGACGGUUUUGCUGUCACUUAUAGAUGGAUCCGCGCCGCAUUAGCUAGUUGGUAAGGUAACGGCUUACCAAGGCAACGAUGCGUAGCCGACCUGAGAGGGUGAUCGGCCACACUGGAACUGAGACACGGUCCAGACUCCUACGGGAGGCAGCAGUAGGGAAUCUUCCGCAAUGGGCGAAAGCCUGUCGGAGCAACGCCGCGUGAGUGAUGAAGGUCUUCGGAUCGUAAAACUCUGUUAUUAGGGAAGAACAAAUGUGUAAGUAACUAUGCACGUCUUGACGGUACCUAAUCAGAAAGCCACGGCUAACUACGUG
rnacentral:rRNA from 1 species